ensembl:lncRNA
CCGCCCUGAGGGUCACCUGGCAGGCUGAGCUCUGGCCAGGGGCAGAGCAGCUGCCCACCCAUUCUGCUCUGGCUGCCAGAAGCUUGGAGGUGAAUCUGCCCACCCUCGGCACACAGCCCGACUUCUGCUACGUGGCGCUGUACUACACCCCACUCCCAGCUGCCUUCUACAUCCCGGACUCACCCACCGUCAUCCUCAGCCUGCCUCCUUCUCACAGCUACGAUUCGUGUUUCCCUGGCCGAGAGCAUAGGCUUGGGACUCAGACUGCUGCACGUAGCAGCUCAUUCCCAAACCGUGAGGUCUGGGGCGAGUCACAUAACCUCAUUGCAAUCCGCUUUCAAAUCCAGAAAAUGAAGAUGAUAAUCAAAUGUAUCAAAUAUGUAUCCGUAAGCGUCUGUGGGAGCUGAAUACGAUACCGUAUGCAAGGGACUCAGUGAAUAUCACCGUAGUAAAAUGGAGUGAGAGAAUUAGCCAUGCGUUCUUCUUCAACAGGACCAGCGGCAGGAAGCAAUGAGGGCCUCCAUCUGGCUGUUGGAAGAAGCUGAAUUGAUGCACACACUUUCAGAAAUGAAGCAGUCUUGCCUUCCCCUGGGAAAUGAAGAGGAAAUGGGAACUUCAGGCUGCUCCCCAGGGAAGGACACGGGAUGGGUUCCUGCAGCUCUCAAGGCUCCAAUCGAGUGCAGCAGAGAGAUUAGCCCCCCAGCCCUGCCUUACCCUCCCUCUACACGCUGGCCCUCUCUGCUCCUGUGUUCAGCCUCAGAAAUCAGGAGGUCACCCCAGCCAGAGACGCCGUGGACGUUAACGGGACCCCAGCGGCCUGCGUGGAGAGAGGAGUGCUGAGCUCACGUGACUCGCUUCACGCACCUGGCCUCACCUGACACUGUCACCAGGAGAGCCGGAGCUGGACUCCUCCGAGCUCAAGGAGCCAGGCGUGUUUUUCCAGAGAUGAUAAAUCCCAGUGAGAAGCAUCCUCAGGGAGGGGCUGCCAGCAUCACUCUGACUGAGUCAACCACCAGCCAGAAGUAGCAGCUGUGGGCUUGGGAAUUAGACCCAACUCAGGUGAGAGACAGGUAUCGGCACUCAGUAGCUGGGUGAUGAUCUGUAAGUUUCUUACUCCCCCAGGCUCCUUUUCUAAUGUGAAAUGUACUUACUGAUUGCCCCGGGGGCUAUGGCAAAAAUUAGAGCUAAUAACUGUAACAAGGUCCUCAGCAAUGGCCUGGCCCAUGGCGAACACUGAGAAACACAGAGGGCCUUAGGAGGCUGAUCUCACCUGCACCGCCUUCCAGAGACUUGACCGCCCCUCACUCUUUCUGGGAGAGUGCAGAGCCUGAACCUCUCAUUGGUGCACAUUUGGUUCAGCUAAGCUGGGAGAGGGGAAACAUCAGGAAGCAG